UUAGUGGUCCUUCCAGGGGGUGACAUUCAGCUGGCCGUUCGAGUGCACGGACUUUCCAUCCUAGAACCAUGGCCCAGUUUGUCCGUAACCUCGCAGAGAAGGCCCCGGCGCUGGUAAACGCUGCUGUGACUUACUUGAAGCCUCGAUUGGCCACAUUUUGGCAUUAUGCCAAGGUUGAGCUGGUUCCUCCAACCCCUGCUGAGAUCCCUACAGCUAUUCAGAGCUUGAAAAAAAUAGUCAGUAGUGCUCAAACUGGUAGCUUCAAACAGCUCACAGUUAAGGAAGCUCUGCUGAAUGGUUUGGUGGCCACUGAGGUGUGGAUGUGGUUUUAUGUUGGCGAGAUCAUCGGCAAGCGUGGCAUCAUUGGCUAUAAUGUUUGAAGACCACUCAUUAACAUCUGUUUCUUUUGGGUUUAUUGUUUGAAUGUUCUUGGGCCAUGUGUGAUCAGACUGGUAUUUGAAUAAAAUAUGUCAAAAUCAAAAAAAAAAAA